rnacentral:rRNA from 1 species
ACGCACGCUGGCGGCGUGCUUAACGCCUGCCAGUCGCACGGAAAGGCCCUGCUUUUGUGGGGUGCUCGAGUGGCGAACGGGUGAGUAACACGUGAGUAACCUGCCCUUGACUUUGGGAUAACUUCAGGAAACUGGGGCUAAUACCGGAUAGGAGCUCCUGCUGCAUGGUGGGGGUUGGAAAGUUUCGGCGGUUGGGGAUGGACUCGCGGCUUAUCAGCUUGUUGGUGGGGUAGUGGCUUACCAAGGCUUUGACGGGUAGCCGGCCUGAGAGGGUGACCGGCCACAUUGGGACUGAGAUACGGCCCAGACUCCUACGGGAGGCAGCAGUGGGGAAUAUUGCACAAUGGGCGGAAGCCUGAUGCAGCAACGCCGCGUGCGGGAUGACGGCCUUCGGGUUGUAAACCGCUUUCGCCUGUGACGAAGCGUGAGUGACGGUAAUGGGUAAAGAAGCACCGGCUAACUACGUG